AGCGAACGCUGGCGGCAGGCUUAACACAUGCAAGUCGAGCGGGUAUAGCAAUAUGUCAGCGGCAGACGGGUGAGUAACGCGUGGGAACGUACCUUUUGGUUCGGAACAACUGAGGGAAACUUCAGCUAAUACCGGAUAAGCCCUUACGGGGAAAGAUUUAUCGCCGAAAGAUCGGCCCGCGUCUGAUUAGCUAGUUGGUGAGGUAAUGGCUCACCAAGGCGACGAUCAGUAGCUGGUCUGAGAGGAUGAUCAGCCACAUUGGGACUGAGACACGGCCCAAACUCCUACGGGAGGCAGCAGUGGGGAAUAUUGGACAAUGGGCGCAAGCCUGAUCCAGCCAUGCCGCGUGAGUGAUGAAGGCCCUAGGGUUGUAAAGCUCUUUUGUGCGGGAAGAUAAUGACGGUACCGCAAGAAUAAGCCCCGGCUAACUUCGU
rnacentral:rRNA from 1 species